rnacentral:rRNA from 1 species
UGGGGAAUUUUGGACAAUGGGCGAAAGCCUGAUCCAGCAAUGCCGCGUGUGUGAAGAAGGCCUUCGGGUUGUAAAGCACUUUUGUCCGGAAAGAAAUGGCUCUGGUUAAUACCUGGGGUCGAUGACGGUACCGGAAGAAUAAGGACCGGCUAACUACGUGCCAGCAGCCGCGGUAAUACGUAGGGUCCAAGCGUUAAUCGGAAUUACUGGGCGUAAAGCGUGCGCAGGCGGUUGUGCAAGACCGAUGUGAAAUCCCCGAGCUUAACUUGGGAAUUGCAUUGGUGACUGCACGGCUAGAGUGUGUCAGAGGGGGGUUAGAAUUCCACGUGUAGCAGUGAAAUGCGUAGAGAUGUGGAGGAAUACCGAUGGCGAAGGCAGCCCCCUGGGAUAACACUGACGCUCAUGCACGAAAGCGUGGGGAGCAAACAGGAUUAGAUACCCUGGUAGUCCACGCCCUAAACGAUGUCAACUAGUUGUUGGGGAUUCAUUUCCUUAGUAACGUAGCUAACGCGUGAAGUUGAUCCGCCUGGGGAGUACGGUCGCAAGAUUAAAAGCUCAAAUGA